UACAGAACAAGCUAGCUGCAUCUUCUCUUUUCUGGCCAUCUUUGAGUGCCUCUUGUUGGGGAAGAUAAGCCCUUUUUUCUCCCUUUUAGCAUGUCCAUCUUUCUGGAUCUAUCUUUCUCUCUGAGUUCCCUAAGGGGGUGCGCGUUCUUGAAGAGUCUAAUCUCUAUCUGCUAUUUCCCCCCAUGCAGGAGACUUCUUUGGUCUUGGAGAAUAUCUCAAUCACCCUUGUCGAACAAGAGAAAGCAUACGGCUCCAGUACAUACUCUCUCUAACCUUGUGAGUAGUACUCGAUCAUAACAUGCAUGCUUCACUUCGGUUCUCCCUGUGACCUUUCUUGGUUACCUGGUUAGGGUUUUGUGCCUGUGACUGGUGAUGGUAAUGAUGAGAUGCAGCUAGCGUUCUUUUUCUCUCUGCCU
rnacentral:lncRNA from 1 species